rnacentral:rRNA from 1 species
UUUGAGGUCUGACCUGCCCAAUGAUAGUUAUUAAAUGGCCGCAGUAUUUUGACUGUGCAAAGGUAGCAUAAUCAUUAGUUUUUUAAUUGAAAGCUGGAAUGAAUGGUUUGAUGAAAGAAGAUCUGUCUCAGGAUUAUUGAUUUAGAAAUUUAUUUUUUAGUUAAAAAGCUUAAAUGUUUUAAAAAGACGAGAAGACCCUAUAGAGUUUUAUAUUUGGUUAAUAAAAUUUUAUUGUGGAUUUUUAUUAGUUUUUAUUUAUUAAAUGUUUUGUUGGGGUGACGAAAAAAUUUAAUUAACUUUUUAUAGUAAGAACAUGAAUUAAUGAAUUUUUGAUCCUUUAUUUGGAUUAGUAGAUAAAACUACCUUAGGGAUAACAGCGUAAUUUUUUUUGAGAGUUCUUAUCGAAAAAAAAGAUUGCGACCUCGAUGUUGGAUUAAAAUUAAUUUUUGGUGCAGAAGCUAAAAAAUUGGGUCUGUUCGACCUUUAAAAUUUUACAUGAUCUGAGUUUAAACCGGCGUGAGCCAGGUUGGUUUCUAUCUUUUAGUAAAUUAGAUGUUUUAGUACGAAAGGACCAAACAUAAAAAUUAUAUUUUAGUUUUUGAAUUAUAUUGUUAUUUUGGCAGAUUAGUGCAAUAAAUUUAGAAUUUAUUAAUGUGAGUUGAUUACAAGUAACAUUGUUUUUUCGGGAUUUAUCAAUAGUUUUUGCUUCUAUAUUGAUUAUGGUUGUUUGUGUUUUGGUGGGGGUAGCUUUUUUA